rnacentral:rRNA from 1 species
GCCGGUCUGAAUUUAUAGGACCGGCAGCGCAAUACGCGGCGAAGUGAAACAUCUCAGUAACCGCAGGAAAAGAACGAGAAUCGAUUCCGUCAGUAGUGGCGAGCGAACGCGGAACAGCCCAAACCGUCGGGAUUUAUCCCGGCGGGGUUAUAGGGCCACAACGUGAAAAGCGAGGGUUAGACGAACACUCUGGAAAGUGUGACCAUAGCGGGUGAUAGUCCCGUAGUUUAAAACCUGAGCAGAUCUAGUGGUACCCUGAGUAGCACCGUACACGUGAAAUUCGGUGUGAAUUCGUGCCGACCACGGCAUAAGGCUAAAUACUCGAUGAAGACCGACAGUGAACUAGUACCGCGAGGGAAAGGUGAAAAGCACCCCUGUUAGGGGAGUGAAAUAGUAACUGAAAUCAAUUGCUAACAAGUCAGUGGGAGCCGGCUUGUCCGGUGACCGCCUGCCUUUUGUAUAAUGAGUCUGCGAGUUAUUGCCCGUAGCAAGCCUAAGCCGGUUACCGGUGGAGGCGUAGCGAAAGCGAGUCCAAAUAGGGCGCUAAGUUGCUGGCAAUAGACCCGAAGCGGAGGUGAUCUAACUAUGGCCAGGAUGAAACUCCGGUAAAACGGAGUGAAGGUCCGAACUCGUCAACCUUGAGAAGUUGUGAGAUGAGCUGUGGUUAGGAGCGAAAGACUAAUCAAACCCUGUGAUAGCUGGUUCUUUCCGAAAUAUAUUUGGGUAUAGCCUCGGAUGCUGAUUUGCGGAGGUAGAGCACUAAAUAAGCUAGGGCCCCUACCGGGGUACUGAACUUAAUUAAACUCCGAAUACCGCGAAGUGAAGUCCGGCAGUCAGACUGUGGGGGAUAACCUUCAUAGUCGAGAGGAGAAUAAUCCAGACCAUCAGUUAAGGUCCCAAAAUAUGGCUCAGUGAAAAAGGAUGUGAUUUUGCUUAGACAAUGGGGAUGUUGGCUUAGAGGCAGCCAUCAUUUAAACAGUGCGUAACAGCUGACCCAUCGAGCGAAAUUGCGCCGAAAAUGAUCGGGACUUAAGCCAUAUACCGAAGCUAUGGGUGCACCGCAAGGUGCGCAGUAGGAAAGCGUCCCAAGUGCAGCGAAGUGGAAGGGGUAACCGACCAUGGAGCGCUUGGGAGUGAGAAUGCAGACAUAAGUAACGAUAAAGCCGGUUGAAAUCCGGCUCGCCGAAAUCCCAAGGAUUCCUGGGGAAGGUUCGUCCGCCCAGGGUUAGUCGGGUGCUAAGACGAGGCCGUAAGGAAUAGUCGAUGCCAAGCAGGUUUAAUAUUCCUGCACCACUAAACGUAUGUUCGACCUAUGGAGUGACGGAGAAAGUUAAUGCAGCAACGUGUUGAAUCGUUGUCUAAGCUCUCAGGCUGUUCGGGGAUAAAAGACCGGAUAAAGCUGAAAAGCGAAUGGACCCCAAAGCCACGGCUGAGGGGGAUUGCCCGAUACUACGCUUCCAAGAAAAACUUCGUAGUUAGUAUGUUUGGCGCCCGUACCGUAAACCGACACAGGUGGGAAAGAUGAGUAUUCUAAGGCGCGCGAGUUAAAUCUCUCUAAGGAACUCGGCAAAUUAACCCCGUAUCUUCGGUAUAAGGGGUGCCCCGCAAGGGGCCGCAGUUAAUUGCGUCAACCGACUGUUUAGCAAAAACACAGCACUCUGCUAAGUCGCAAGACGACGUAUAGGGUGUGACACGUGACCAAUGCGGAAAGGUGAAAGUCUUGGGUGCAAGCUCAGGAUCUAAGCCCCCGUGAAUGUCGGCCGUAACUAUAACGGUCCUAAGGUAGCGAAAUUCCUUGUCGGGUAAGUUCCGACC